UUGAGCUGUAACAUAGAGUUUCUCAUCUAUUUCCCUUCUUAUGACUUCACAUAAUUUCACUUUCAGUGUCUAUAAAUAUAUCAAAUUGUUCAACUUGUUUUGUCACACUGCCCUUUACUUCAUCUUCUUUUCCAUAGUUACCUAUUACAAGCCAUUCACUUUAUGUGUACAUGAAAUUCAACACCUUGUUUGGCUUGUUUGCUUCUCUACUCUUCACUUUUCUGUUCUAGUCAUAGCUCAAAAUCAAGUCCUUCAUUGGAUAAACCUUUCACAUGUGUUCUCAAUGUUUGUGCGCGCGCGCGCGUGCACACACAUGUACUUUCAUUAUUUGACCGUUCCUUUUAAAUGGCUAACUUGUGAGUAUUAUUUCAAAAAUUUGAAACAGUGUUUUAAAAACUGAAUUGGACGGUAAUACUUGAACAGAACAAUGAAGAGAAAAGGAGCAUACAAGCAAAACAUGGUACUUAUUUCUUAGUAUUUAAGGUGAGUGGCUGGUAAUAGUUGAAUAUGAAAGAAGAAAACUUGAUGAACAGUGAAGCUAUCUCAGCAAAGUUUCACCAAUGAUCAACUAUGAUUAGCAGCAAAAAUGGCCAUGUCGUAUGCAAUGUAGGACUCUCAACAGAUACUCUAUCAGGUACAUAAAAUUUUGGUUAUUUUGUUUCUUAUUACUGUGACAUUAAAAAAACUAGUUUGUGUGUAGUUGAUAGUUGGUGACACCAUUACCAAUAUGCAAACAUUGCCAUUUCAAUGACGAGCCAUUCCUCGAAAGACAUGAAAGGAAGGAGCCUCUAAAGUCUAUACUGUUAGAUAUGACUUAGCGUAUGUUUGGACCAACGUCUUCUUCACAAAGGUGUCACGUUUCAAUUCAUUCUACCGCGACUUCAACAAAGCUACAAACUCGAACUUCAACCUGCCGCGUAUUCAAGAUCUGUUCAUUGAAUAAACAAAACAAACAUGCACUUAUUUGAAGCAAAAGUACUUGGAUUGGAGCAAUAUGAAAAUUCCAUAAAUAAUUUCGAUUUGAAGCUGAUUAACUGCUCGAAGAUUCAAUACAAUAUUCUAUCAAUUAUGUAUUUAGGCGGGUAGGGUCCCAAAAUCUCACCAGGGCCCGAAAAAGCCUCAAGACUUAAAGAGCACUGACAGCCUAGAAUCUCACCAGGGUCCAGAAAAUCGAAAAGCCUCAAGACUUUAUGAGCUUUGACAGAGAUAUUUUCAUAUUACCCACCAACAAACUCGCUGGGAUUCAAACUCAAGUCCUUAUGGAAUCUGAGCUAAAUCUUUACCAACUCGACCAACCUACAUUGGCUCCUUAUAUUUUUCCUUGUGCAAAUUCUAUUCAAUUAUCAGAAUCAAGCAUUGAAGACUCACCAGCAAGAAUUCCAACGCGUAUGAUGAAAGAGAGGAAUUGGUGUUUAGUUCUACUUAGUCUUAAGCUUUUUGUAUAGUUGUAAUUACUAAUUAGCCUUUACUUUUUCUGUUAGGAGUUUGUCUUUGAGUUUUGCUUGGUUGCAUUGGCAGUUAGCUAGUGUUUCUGAGCUGGCAUCACUAGUCUUACCAAUAAUACGAGAGUUUUGCGCAAUUUGUGAAGCAUAAUGUUCUCUGAAAUUACUUCGAUGGUACCAUAGCAAGUUCAUUCAGUUUUGUUUUAGCUGUGCAAGAGUACUUGUAGGAGCAUCUCAGACUUAGUUUCUGAAAUUCUUUCUCUGAUCUUUCUUUGUUGUGAGAAUUAAAGUUCCAAAAGUGAUGCAAGACAAAUUCUUAAUCUCUCGAUCCGUAUUACAUUCAUUUAUC